rnacentral:rRNA from 1 species
GACGAACGCUGGCGGCGUGCUUAACACAUGCAAGUCGAACGGAAAGGCCCUGCUUGCAGGGUACUCGAGUGGCGAACGGGUGAGUAACACGUGGGUGAUCUGCCCUGCACUUCGGGAUAAGCCUGGGAAACUGGGUCUAAUACCGGAUAGGAGCCAUUUUUAGUGUGAUGGUUGGAAAGUUUUUUCGGUGUAGGAUGAGCUCGCGGCCUAUCAGCUUGUUGGUGGGGUAAUGGCCUACCAAGGCGGCGACGGGUAGCCGGCCUGAGAGGGUGGACGGCCACAGUGGGACGAGAACCGGCCCCGGACCCCAGGGGGGGGAGGGAGGGGGGAAUGUGGCCAAAGGGGCCAAGGCCGGAUGCGGCACGCCCGGGGGGGGGUGGCGGGCUUGGGGGUUGAAACCCCUUUCCCCUAGGGCAAAAGUUUUUUGAGGCGGUACCUAGAAAAGAGCCCCCGCCUAGCUCCGUC